rnacentral:rRNA from 1 species
UACGUAGGGGGGCAAGCGUUGUCCGGAAUUAUUGGGCGUAAAGAGCGCGUAGGCGGUCCGAUAAGUCGGCUGUGAAAGUCCAGGGCUCAACCCUGGAAAGCCGGUCGAUACUGUCGGACUAGAGUCCGGAAGAGGCGAGUGGAAUUCCCGGUGUAGCGGUGAAAUGCGCAGAUAUCAGGAGGAACACCGGUGGCGAAGGCGGAUCUCUGGGCCUUACCUGACGCUGAGACGCGAAAGCGUGGGGAGCAAACAGG